rnacentral:rRNA from 1 species
AGCAGCCGCGGUAAUUCCAGCUCCAAUAGCGUAUAUUAAAGUUGUUGCAGUUAAAAAGCUCGUAGUUGAAUUUCGGGAUCAGUGGGUCGGUCGUGCCACUGGUAUGCACUGGCCCUACUGGUUCCUCCUUCUUGAAGAACUGUAAUGCCAUUAAUUUGGUGUUGCAGGGAAACAGGACUGUUACUUUGAAAAAUUAGAGUGUUUAAAGCAGGCAAUCGCUUGAAUACAUUAGCAUGGAAUAAUGAAAUAGGACGAUCGAUCCUAUUUUGUUGGUUUCUAGGAUUGACGUAAUGAUUAAUAGGGAUAGUUGGGGGCAUUAGUAUUCAAUUGUCAGAGGUGAAAUUCUUGGAUUUAUUGAAGACUAACUACUGCGAAAGCAUUUGCCAAGGAUGUUUUCAUUAAUCAAGAACGAAAGUUAGGGGAUCGAAGACGAUCAGAUACCGUCGUAGUCUUAACCAUAAACUAUGCCGACUAGGGAUCGGAUGAUGUUAAUUUUUAAUGACUCAUUC